rnacentral:rRNA from 1 species
UCGAGGAUCUUCGGCAAUGGGCGCAAGCCUGACCGAGCGACGCCGCGUGUGCGAUGAAGGCCUUCGGGUUGUAAAGCACUGUCGAGGGGGAGGAAAGCCGCAAGGUUGAUCGACCCCUGGAGGAAGCACGGGCUAAGUUCGUGCCAGCAGCCGCGGUAAGACGAACCGUGCGAACGUUGUUCGGAUUCACUGGGCUUAAAGGGCGCGUAGGCGGGUGGUCAAGUCCGGGGUGAAAGCUUUCGGCUCAACCGGAAAAGGGCCUUGGAUACUGACCAUCUAGAGGGAGGUAGGGGCAGGUGGAACUUCCGGUGGAGCGGUGAAAUGCGUAGAUAUCGGAAGGAACGCCGGUGGCGAAAGCGGCCUGCUGGAUCUCUACUGACGCUGAGGCGCGAAAGCUAGGGGAGCAAACGGGAUUAGAUACCCCGGUAGUCCUAGCCCUAAACGAUGGGUACUAGAUGUAGCGGGUACUCAUUCCUGCUGUGCCGCAGCUAACGCGUUAAGUGCUCCGCC